ensembl:lncRNA
GUAAGAAAUCAUCAUACACCCCCUGCAAAAACAGCAGCACAAUGAAACAAAACAAACCCCCCCAACCCCCCAGAUACCCAGAGGUACACACGGUGCUAUAUUUAUUCUCAUCAGUUUGUUCAUUCUACUGAAGCAAGUUACCACGUCAUCUGCUCCCCUAGAGAGGUGUCACUGGACAAGGCACUGAGGGCAGGCCAACAGCCUGCAAAGGACUGCAUCCUGAGAACAACCAUGGGAGGGAGCCUGGAAGCAGAUCCCUCCCCAGUCAGCCUAGAGAUGAUACCGCAACCCUGACUGUAGCCUGUAAGAGGCCUUGAAGAGGUCUUGGGUCCAGCUAAGCACACCUGCAUUCCUGAUCCUCCGACGGCGCUGUGACAUCAAACAGAUGUGUAUUAAGUUUUGGGGUGAUUUGUUAUGCAGCAAUAGGUGACAAAUGGAUGGAUAGGUAAAUAGAUAGACAUAGAUCAACUAUAUAAUACAUCAUUAUUAUAUAGAUUUACCAUACUUCAUUUAACUAUUCUAUUAUUAUUGGACAUUUAGGUGGUUUCCAAGACUUCUGCUAUAUAAAGCUGUAUUACACAUGUAUUAGUCCAGGUAUACCUUUAGGAAAGCAUUCUUUUUCUGCUGCUGCUGCUAAGUCGCUUCAGUCGUGUCCGACUCUGUGCAACCCCAUAGACAGUAGCCUACCAGGCUUCUCUGUCCAUGGGAUUUUCCAGGCAAGAGUACUGGAGUGGGGUGCCAUUGCUUUCUCCGAUUCUUUUUCUAAAUUGAGAUAAAAUGGACAUCUUCUAUUUGUUUCAAAUGUAGAACAUAAUGAUUCAACAUUUGUAUAUAUUGUGAAGCGAUCACGUUUAGCUAGCAUCCAUCACCAGAGGGCGAGCUACUCUCUUAGAAACUUUUAAAUAUGAAACUAUUAACUAUAGGUUACUAAUGAAGGUAUGGUGCUACUUUUGAGAUUUACUAAGUUACCCUCCAGAGGUUUCAGCAAUUUAUCCUGCAUCAACACUGCUAAGUUACUUCCCUGGUGGUCCAGUGAUUAAGACUCUGCACUCUCAACGUGGGGGACCCAGGUUCAAUCCCCGGUCAGGGAACUACAUCCUGCAUGCUUGCAACUACGACCUGGUGUAGAGAGAUAAGUAAAUAUAUAAUUUUAAAAAUUUCUGCUGAAAAGUAGUGCAGAAGUAGAGAACACUUGGGCAAAUUCUGAGUAUUAUUAAUUUUUCCUCAGUGGAUAGAUGAAAAGAUUCUCAUUGAUGUUUUAUAUUCUGUUGGUUUAUUAACUAAAUUGGGCAGUUUGCAUUUGCUUGUCAUCUAAAAUCUUUUCUUAAACUAACUGCCUGUUUGCAUCUUUUAAACACUUUUUUUCAUUUUCCUUUUAUACUCAUCCUUUUUGUUCUUUAGUGUGUUCUUCCUUUUUCUUCAGUAAGCACUUUAUUUAAAACAGUUUUGCUCAUCAUGUUUGUAAAUGAGAAUAAUGCCUUCAUCUGGCCAAUAUUUUCCUCUCAGUUUGUAAUUUAUCUGUAGGCUUUAUUUAUGGGUUUGCUUUUUUUUUUUCAUAUCUAAAGUUUUUACUUUUAUGUGGUUAAAUUGGUAAAUUUUCUUCUUUAUAAUUUCUGGGUUUUGUAUCAUUUCCAAAAAAAAAAAGUACUCGUAGUGGAAGACGUUGAUGAUGAGAGGGAGGGUGAUGGUGAUGGUGGAGGCAGGAAGGCAGGGGG